rnacentral:rRNA from 1 species
GACGAACGCUGGCGGCGUGCUUAACACAUGCCAGUCGAACGGCAAGGCCCUUCUUUUGUGGGGUGCUUGAGUGCCGAACGCGUGCGUAACACGUUCGUAUCCUGCCUCUUACCAUGGGAUAACUUCAGGAAACUGGGGCUAAUACCGGUUCGGAGCUCCUUCUUCUUGGUGGGGGUUGGAAAGUUUCGGCGGCCGGGGAUGGACUCGCGGCUUACCUGCUUGUUGGUGGGGUGGUGGCUUACCAAGUCUUUGGCGGGUAGCCGGCCUGAGAGGGUGACCGGCAAAAUUGGGACAGAGAUACGGCCCAGACUCCUACGGAAGGCAGGAGUAGGGAAUAUUGCACAAUGGGCGGAAGCCGGAUGCAGGAACACCGCGUGCGGGAUGGCGGCCUUCGGGUUGUAAACCGCUUACGCCUGUGACGAAGCGUGAGUGACGGUAAUGGAUAAAGAAGCACCGGCUAACUACGUG